rnacentral:sRNA from 1 species
GCAUUGCCAAUGGCAUACCUAGGAAACACACAAAAAUUCCAUAUUCAAAUUUUCACUCAAAUCACAUAUUCUUUGUCAUCGUCAUCAUCAUCAUCAUCAUCAUUAACAUUUUCAUCAAAUUUCUUCAUCUCAUCAUCAUUAUCAGUCACUCGUUAGAUUGCUCCACAAUCCACAUAGCUCUAAGUAUAAACAACAACAUCAACAACAACAAGAAAAACACAUCAAAUAUCAACUACGGACAAACGAUACGAAUGCAUUCACAUCAACACAAAUCAUCAUCAUCAUCACCAAUAUCAUCGACAUCAUUCGCAGUUCAUUCGACCUGCCACAAAGCAGUUCUAUCCUGGCUAGUGAAAACACAGACAUCCAACAAAAAACCCAAUAGAAAUACAGUGUGCAUCCGCUAAAACGAUGAAAAAUAAUACAAUUCCCAAUUCGGAGUUAAGGAAAACAAACAAAAAAAAACAAAAUUUUUGGAUCUAUAGUCCCUCUUACGACUUUUUCAAACAAUUAUUCUAUAGAUCAUAAAUCAAUCGUAAUGAUCACUUUCAUUCUGGCUAUCACUCUUUACCUUGAGUCUGAGAGCUUCUCAGAACGCUUACUUUUUUCUAAUUUCCUAGGGUCUUUCAAUAUAUUAAUGCAUUUUUUCAAAUUUGAAUUGUCGUUAUGCCAAUUUCUUUCAAAAAUUUUUUAUUUUUUAAGAAAAUAAUGAAUUGGUCUUUUAAAAUAUUAUUAGGAAGGCAAUUUUCAUAUAGCUGGAAAUUUCAUACUAAAAAGCCUUUUUAUCUGUUUAUUUGACAAGCUGUCAAUAAUUAAUUAAUUAAUUCUUGUGCACUUUGUUGGACCACUUUCUAUUUAUCGCUCUCUUCCAUUUGGAUUUCUUUUAUAUUCUUUAUUUUUAAUGGCUGGGGAGCCAAAUAUUAGGUAAAUAUAAUAUAGUACCUCAUUAUGUUAAGAAAUGAAUUUAAUUAUCUGUUAUACUCAGGUUACUGAAAUGUUUGUUUGUAAUUAUUUUAUGGGCCUUAUUGGCUUUAUAUUACAUAUUUGGUUAAUAAAUGAAAUGAAAACUAAAAUAAUGUAGUGUUCUUAUACUUCACUUUCUACCUAAUUCCCCUUAGUUUUUAAUGGAACUUUCCUAGAGUUGGGAGAGCUUUUUCGUACAAAUGUUGACUGGUUUUUUUUCAAGUGUAUUUCAUUUGUUUCAUUUUAAUUUAUGAAUGUAUUUAUUGUCAAAAGUGAUUCCAGUAGUUUAUUAAUCAACGUAUUUAUGCACAACAUCGCUCAAUCCUUAACUGUAUAUACAUAGUAGUAGUUGGUAUAACCUUAACUUUAUAACUUUAAUUGGUCCAUUGUGUCACGUUUCGACUAACUCUUAUCAAUCAAUUUAUUUGAAUGGAAAGUAAAAAAAGAGCUCGAAAUCAUUUGUAAAAGCUAUGGAGUAAAUCAAAAUACAACGAUAGCAUUGGCUAGGUCAUAUUGUCAGAAUGAUUGAAGAAACUCCAGCAAAGAAGUCUUUCGAAGGUCAACUCUGUGGUAAUCGCAAUAGGGGAAGACAAGAAUUGUGAUGGAAAGAACAAGUCGAGAGAGACAUCUCGAAACUAGGUGUCAGAAAUCGGAGAAUGAGAGCAGAAAAUCGAGGCGCUUGGAAUUAUAUUCUAUUCAGGCUAGUGCUACUAAUGUAAAUUAUAAACUACCGUUUCGCUUUCAUUCUUUUUUUUGCAAAUGCCUUUAAUGUCCAAAAUCAAUCAAUCAAUCAGUCUCGGACAAUCAGUGGGCAACAAUAUGCACCCCAACAAUACAUCACACAGCGGCCUGAUCAUGGCAAUGAAUGAGAACAAAGCUUCAUCUAAGCGCUAUAAUAUGUAGAAAUACACAUUCAUAUGUUACCAAAGAUCCCUUCAAUAAUUUUCUCACAUUAUUCUACAUAGGGUAUCUCUAAAUAAAUUAUGGCCCAUUACAAUAAAACAAACAACACAUCAAAUAAAAAAAUAUAUGUGUACAUAUUAAACUUAACAUAAAUCAAAUACAAAUUAUAGAGCUUUUCACAAAAAUAAACGUCAAAAAUAUUUGAAAAACAUAAUAAAUUAAGAAAAUCUUUGAACAUCACAGCAAGUGUCAAAUUAUGAAGGACACAGAUCACAAAAGUAUCCCAACUAUACAUAGAUUUGGCAAUUUUCAACACGAAGUAAUCACAUUUCAAAUUCAAACUUUUCUCAAUCAAAAUUCAACAACAUUUCAAAUAAAUUUCAUUAUUCUUUUGAAAACAACUGAGAUUGAAGAUGUUUUCAACAAUAAAGUUCAGAAUCAGCGUUCAGAGAAAAUUAUGAAUUCAAAUGGAAAACGAGUUGAUGAUCGAAAAAUCCUAGGGUCCUAAUUUCCGCAACCGUAAUCGAUUUUAUUACGAUCGAGAUAUCCAAAUUUUUGAUGAUGGCAUCUGUUAUCGAAUAAUUCUAUUCGAACCGAAAGGUUCGACUUUUAGCCCGCAGCGCUGUAACUAUCACAAAUUUUAACCAACGCAGAUCCCAUAGUGCUCUGGUGGGAAUCGAUCUUUGACCCCUAAAAUUCCAUUUAGGGGUUGUUGAUGAGCAGCAUUGUCUUUCUUCUGAACUAUAAUCAAACUGGAUUUAUUAAGAAGGUACAGAAAUGCGAGGGCAGAGAAUUCAUGCUGCAAAAUCCCAGAAUUCAUGCUGCAAAAUCCCAAAAUCCCAGAACUCAUAAUGCACGACGCCUCAUCAAUCAUGGAAAACUGUGAGCAAAACCUUCAUAUUCGACCGAACUUGGUGCACUUUCUUGAUAUUGGCUAAUGCAGAAGCUUCCAUUGAGAUGAUUAAGCUUUGAUUUCCAGUUUAUAACUAUAAACCCAUGAUUAUUCACCAGUUAUGAUCCUCUGGAGCAGGUAUGAAUCAUCAUGGACACUUUUUUUGGUCGCAUUGCAAAAACAUAAACAAAUAUCGAAAAGAGAUCAAAAUUAGUCCAAACAAAGCAGGUGUCACAAAUUAACGGUCGAUCUUGCCAGCAUAACAAGCCACUCCUUCCUUUAAAAACAAUUUAAUUUCUAAAUACUUUUGAACCAUAUCUAUUGCUUUUGUACUUAGAAAACAGUUCCUUUUUGAAUGAAAAAAAAAAUUAUCUUUUGCAAACAAUCAUUAUAUGUUGUUGUUAUUUACGGUCUGUCUUAAUAUAUAUUAUAUACGCUGAAAAAUAAUCACUGAAAUUGUUGUAAUGACAAGUAUUUCGCUGUCUCAUUUUAACUAAAAAUUAAUUACUAGCAUUUUAGAUGAUUUUUUACUAGAAAUUUUAUAUUUAGUUCUUUACGAGACCACAAUUUUUUCAUAGUCUUCACCACAGUAAAUAUAGUUGCAAUGAAGUUAAAAAAUUGGUAUAAUCUGUAUAUAAAUCCGAUUUUUUUGCGAUCUAUUCUUGGUUUCGCUUUACAAACAAUUUACUUAGCGAUAAUCACUAGAGAUGGGCGAUGGGUAAAUACCCGAAAUGC